GGAUAUAUAACUCAGUUUGGUAGAGUACCUCGUUGACAUCGAGAUAGUCACCUGUUCAAAUCAGGUUAUAUCCA
rnacentral:tRNA from 1 species